rnacentral:rRNA from 1 species
AAUAUUUGACAAUGGGCGCAAGCCUGAUCCAGCAAUGCCGCGUGCGUGAAGAAGGCCUUAGGGUUGUAAAUCGCUUUCACCCGUGCAUAUGAUCACGGUAGCGGGAGUAGAAGCCCAGGCUAACUCCGUGCCAGCAGCCGCGGUAAUACGGAGGGGGCUAGCGAUGUUCGGAAUGACUGGGCGUAAAGGGCGCUUUGGCGGCCCGUCGAGUCGGAUGUGAGAGCCCCGGGCUCAACCCGGGAUGUGCAUUCGAUACUGGCGGGCUCGAGUCCGGGAGAGGAUGGCGGAAUUCCCAGUGUAGAGGUGAAAUUCGUAGAUAUUGGGAAGAACACCGGUGGCGAAGGCGGCCAUCUGGACCGGCACUGACGCUGAGGCGCGAAAGCGUGGGGAGCAAA